rnacentral:tRNA from 1 species
GGGCCCGUGGUCGAAGGGCUAAGACGCCACCUUGACACGGUGGAGAUUCCAGGUUCGAGUCCUGGCGGGCCCA